UGUGAGAAGUGAGUUACUUUACGUCUGGUUACCAUUAUUUUUGGAACAGAUGGGGACGAACCCUUUGCAAGCUUCCUCGUUCAAACCAGCCAAACUUGCUGCUAAUUUGCAAUGUGCUGCAGUUCAACUGCUUUCUUAUUCCAUCUGCAGCCAGCCACAACCUUGAUGACCUGCACCACCACUUGGGACUUGUGCCAAGCAAUUGCUGCUUAUAAAUCUUCAGAUUUGAAAUAUGCAUCCAAUCAAUAAUUGGGAGGAGGGGUCAGCAUAUGGAGACUGUAACAAACAAAAUCAAGUCAUCAGCCAGGAGUAUUUUCACCGUACAGAAACAGUCUCCAAUUAUGCAAAAGUCAUCAACUAAGAAGACCUGUUUUUAAAUAUUUGUGUUUGUCUUGCAUCUCUGCACCAGAAAUGUAUACCCAUAACAUUCUUCCUGGAGUAUCCACACUGCUUCUGGUAAGGUCUCAGAACCAUCACCACCACCCUGCCACACUAUUGGAUUUUAUGAAAUUAAUGGACAAAGGAGAAAAUAUUUUUCAUAGCCUUCUGUUAACUAAAAUGUCAGUUAAUCACAUCCCCGAGACAUUAAAGGGUCCUGUGCUCAGUCAGGCCCAGAACCAAGGAUGGAAUAACCCAGGUCUUCGAAGUUUCAAACCAGCGGCCCAUCUGCUGGACUGGACUGCCACAUCGUAUUAGUGCAGAGAGGUCUCGAAGAACAUAACAGAUGCCCUAUCCCGUUGUGUGGCAGAGGAAUGGCUUCCGGUACCGAAGGAGGAAAAUCUA